AUUGUCAGCAGACUGUAAUUGUACUUCUGAUCAUCUUAAUUUUGAUUCUUAUCCUGUAUGCUCUGACAGUUGGGUUUGCACUUUACAGAUUUAGACAAUUGAACAACAAGCUGAAGGUUCACAAUGAUGCAGGCACAUAUGCUUCUCUUCAGCUCUCUGCUCCGGUGUCUGAAUAUGAGACUUUGAAUAUUAAGAAAGAUGACACACAUUAAACAACAAAUAAACAUUUGGACAUUUCAUCAGAUUUU